AUGACGGCCAGCCUCCGCCGCCACCCCCACUCUCCGGCGGUGCUGCCGCUGGACGACGAUGACUUGCUCUCCGAGAUCCUCCUCCGCCUCCCCCCUCAGCCCUCCUCCCUCCCGCGCGCCUCCCUCAUCUGCAAAAGCUGGCGAGGCCUCGUCUCUGACCCCCGAUUCCUCCACCGCUUCCGCCGCCACCACCGCCGCAGCCCUCCCAUCCUCGGUUCCUUCGUUGAGAAGGCGUUAUCUAUAUCCUUCGUACCAGCUCUCGACCCCCCCAAUCGUGUCCCCGUCGGGCGAUUCUCCUUGCAGUGCGACGACGUCGGCGGCUUCAGCCUCCUCAACUGCCGCCAUGGCCUCGUCCUCAUCUUCCUCCUGAAGCACAACCAGGUCCUGGUGUGGGACCCCAUCAGCGGCGACCAGCACCGCAUAGCCGUUCCUCCGAGCUUUUGUGUGGUGACGGGGAGACGGACAACCGGGGCGGUGCUCCGGGCUGGCGGGGACAACCACCACUUCCAAGUGGUAUUGAUAGGCACAUACAAGGAACAACAUCCACGAGCAAUCGCCUGCAUUUACUCCUCGGAGACGGGCAUAUGGGGCAAUCUACUCUCGACACUGCUUCCAUACGAGGCUCGGUCGGCUUAUACGGGCAUGGCUUGUGUCCUCGUUGGGAAUUGCCUUUAUUGGGUUCUUAUUGGUGAGAGUCCACGCAUACUUGAAUUUGAUUUGGAUAGGCAGAGCUUAACUUUGAUACAUAUGCCAGUGGACUUGUACGCCACUAAUGCUUGCCAUUUCUCAUUUAUGCGAGUGGAGGGUGGUGUCCUUUCUUUCCUCAUUUCCUCAUGGGACUUCAAUGCCCAAUUAUGGAAUAUGGAGAAAAAUUGUGAUGGUGUUGUUUCAUGGGUGCUGAGAACAACCAUUGAAUUGGACAAGCUACUUUCCCUCAAACCAGAUGAUGGAGGGCCCCAACUGAUAAUAGGGUUUGCCGAGGACAAUAUUGCGUUCUUCCUGUUGACAAAAGUCGGCGUCUUCAUGGUCCAGCUUAAGUCAUUGCAGUUCAAGAAACUUUCCAAAACCAACUACUUGUCUCACUAUCAUCCAUUCGAAAGUGUCUACACUGCAGAUAUUGGCGGUGAACGUGAUGGAGCUGAACUUUUGCACAACAUGCAAGAUAACUGUCUGGUCAGACAUGCGUAA
rnacentral:rRNA from 1 species